UACGUAGGGUGCAAGCGUUGUCCGGAAUUAUUGGGCGUAAAGAGCUCGUAGGCGGUUUGUUGCGUCGGCUGUGAAAUCCCGAGGCUCAACCUCGGGUCUGCAGUCGAUACGAGCAAACUAGAGUGUUGCAGGGGAGACUGGAAUUCCUGGUGUAGCGGUGAAAUGCGCAGAUAUCAGGAGGAACACCGGUGGCGAAGGCAGAUCUCUGGGCCGUAACUGACGCUGAGGAGCGAAAGCGUGGGGAGCGAACAGG
rnacentral:rRNA from 1 species